rnacentral:rRNA from 1 species
UACGUAGGUGGCAAGCGUUGUCCGGAUUUACUGGGCGUAAAGAGCGCGCAGGCGGUCGUUCAAGUCGCGUGUGAAAGCCCCCGGCUCAACUGGGGAGGGUCACGCGAUACUGAUCGACUCGAAGGCAGGAGAGGGUAGUGGAAUUCCCGGUGUAGUGGUGAAAUGCGUAGAUAUCGGGAGGAACACCUGCGGCGAAGGCGGGUUGCUGGGCUGACACUGACGCUGAGGCGCGAAAGCUAGGGGAGCGAACGGG